CAGUCGCCACGGUAAUACGUAGGUGGCAAGCGUUGUCCGGAAUUAUUGGGCGUAAAGGGCUCGCAGGCGGCUUCUUAAGUCUGAUGUGAAAGCCCCCGGCUCAACCGGGGAGGGUCAUUGGAAACUGGGAAACUUGAGUGCAGAAGAGGAGAGUGGAAUUCCACGUGUAGCGGUGAAGUGCGUAGAGAUGUGGAGGAACACCAGUGGCGAAGGCGACUCUCUGGUCUGUAACUGACGCUGAGGAGCGAAAGCGUGGGGAGCGAACAGGAUUAGAUACCCCCGUAGUCCCUGUCUCUUAUAA
rnacentral:rRNA from 1 species